GAAUUUUAUUAUUUUUAAUACAUACAUUUCACAAACAGAAACCCUCUAAAACCACACACAGUUCCACAACCAAAUGUUUCAAUUUUAUCCACAUUCUUUAACUAUUUACACUGUCUUUCCUCAACAAAAGUGCAAUCCAAGACAUCUUGACAAGAAAUCUUUACUGACAAGAAUUUAUUUUUGAGCUGGUUUUAACGGAGCCCAUCCAUUUUAUUUUCUUUCAAUUACCUGGAAUAUUUAGUGAACAGGACAUAAAGAUGAACUGGGUUAGGCAGCAUCCUAUUAUAGGAAAUAAAACACUAAACAAGAACACUUUCUCCUCACUUCCUUUCCAAUCUCCAAUGAAAGUCACUCAACAGCUGCUACCAGGAUACAAAACAGAAAAGCAAACUGGAGUUCGUGACCUAGACACAGGAGAACAGACUGUGUAUUAAGCAUCAGUCUUGCAGGACUAAACAAAAGAUUUUAGCAAAUUAGUUUUGGUGCUCUAAUAAGGUACAUAUAAGUCUUAUCUGUUAGUUUCAGAGUUCAAAUACCUAAUAAGAUUCUUUUUUGAUGAGUUAAUUUUCCCCCAACAUAUAUGAAAAUAACUUUUACUCAGAAAAUGAACUUCUUGCACAAAACCUAGAAGUUAAAGGGCAUUUGAGGAAAGCUCCUCUGUAACUAGAAGAGGAAAAUUCACCCAACUCCCCAACUUCAUGGCACCAUAUCUCUUUUAAAGUAUAAACCCAUUAUAUCAACUGCUUCAAAUGUACCAAGAGAAUGAAGAGGUGAGAUGGCCUGAAGAGAAAACAAUCAAUCAGAAAUUGUACUCUCACUAAACUAAAGCAGAUCACUGUAUUUGUUCAAGGUAUAAAACUCUUAAAAUAAAUAUUAAAAAAUAUUAAGAGUAGACUAAAAACACUUUGAAAUUAUUAGUCACUCUUAAGACUGCUUCAUUUUACUGAACACUAUUCAUCAGAAAACAGAAAUUGGAUCUCUUGCAACUAAUAUUCUUUAGUAUCCUAACUACAACAAAAAUAAUAACCUUUUUUGAUAUAUUCCAAUUCCAAUCAAAGUAUUCAGGGCAAGCUUGGGGUAUUAAGGUCAGUAGAUUUCCAAAAUAAGAUUUAUCUUCAUGGUGUUGAAUACUCAAUUAUACUUUAUUCCCAAAUCAACCAAAUUUUCCCUCUAGACAAGAAUGAAUCACCUUAAAGGCGAAAGAUAUUCUCAGAUAUGCUUCAUGCUCUCAUUAUUUUCUCUUUAAGUAACUGAAGACAUCCAUAGAAUCCUUAAUUUAGCAUUGAAAUAAUGUCCAAGAGUAAACUUUAUCCAUUACAGUAAAACCUCAUCCUAUUUAUUGUUCAGGGGUAGAAACCAUCUAAAAGGCAACAUGGAACACAGCAUACACUACACCGACAGUAGUUCUAAAUUCAGGAGCUUGCUGAAUGCAAUGUAUAGGUCAAUUGUAAGCUUCAGAACAACAAUAUAAAGCAGGUUUCACUAUAAAAUUUUAGGUGGGUUAAAGAUCAGCAUCAUCAAUAUUUUACUAUUUAAAUUCAGAAAUAAAAUCCAAAUGGUAUUACGAGGACAAGAGAAACUUAGCACUUUUUGCAUCUGGGUACAUGAGAGAAUCAAUAAGGAAAUAGUUAAUUCACCACUACAGCUUUGUGCAUUAAAGACAAGUUUGCAGAAAGCUAUGUCUUACAAUCCUCCUCCUUUAGUUGCAUCAAACACUGUCAGUUCAAUGACUUUCUACUUCUUAUAGGCAUUUCAUGCAUUUCUUCCCACUGAAAAGUUUUUUCAGAUGAUCAAACACUAACCUAGAUGCAGCAAACCAAAUCAUCCAAACUGAAAGAUAAAAACUAUUAGUCAAUAACAUUGGUUCUUUAAUGCUGCAUUGUUUCAAACGCAACAUCAAAUAUUUCAUAUAGAACUGAAAUUGCUGGGCACGGUGGUUCACACCUGUAAUCCCAGCACUUUGGGAGGCCAAGGCAGGUGGACCACAAGGUCAGGAGAUCUAGACCAUCGUAGCUAACAUGGUGAAACCCUGUCUCUACUAAAAAUACAAAAAAUUAGCCGAGGGUGGUGGCAUGCGCCUGUAGUCCCAGCUACUUGGGAGGCUGAGGCAGGAGAACUGCUUGAACCCGGGAGGCAGAGGUUGCAGUGAGCCGAGAUUGCACUACCACACUCCAGCCUGGGUGACAGACUGAGACUCCAUCUCAAAAAAAGAAAAAAAGAACUGAAACUCACUUGCAGUAUUGCCUAAAUACUCUGAAAAGAAAACACACAGGAAAAAAAAAAGGUAUAAACCAAAUGAAUAAUAUAAAAUGUCCACAUCAACCCCAAAUUUGGCUAUUCAUAAAAUGAUUUUCAGCAUUUUUAGCAUAUAUGCACAUCAUACAUGAAAUUAUGAAAUUAACUUUUGAGAAAUCAUAUUCCAAUUCUAUAUGGUAUGGGAUGUCAGUCUAUUUAAAGCAUUAAAAUCUACUGAACCAAAGGCUGUAUUUUGGAAUGCCCAAUGCUCUGACUAAUCAAGUUCUAUAUAUAUGAUCAUCUUUUUUCAACAGUAAGGUAUCACGGGCUUUUUAGAAUGGUCUAUUUUUCAAACGUACUGCUAUGCAUUACAAUCAUUGAUUUUCCAAAACAUACUUAAAAAAGAAAUAGUAAAAUUAUUUUCUUCAUCAUCCUUUCAUACUUUUUUUCCCUUCCUCUUAAGGUCAAAUCUUUGAUUUUGGAAACUCAGAAUUAAAUGGGUUAAACAUGGCCAUAAGUAAUUUUGAGGACAAUAAGUGUGGCAAUUAUUGGUUCUGAAGCUCACCAGUUAGAUUCUGUGGCUGAUUUACCUGUGAGAAGAAUAUGACACCAAAUGACACUUCAACAGUGCAACCUGUAAUAAAUCAUCACUGCCCAAAUCAUGUUAUUCAUGGGUUCUCCUUAAGAGCUAUUUUACC
ensembl:lncRNA